rnacentral:sRNA from 1 species
GUCACGUCACCCGUGAUCAAUCGGUUAAUAAAACACACCCCCUCUACGGGCGCCUAUUGACGGACGUAAAUUUGAACAGCACCAGCAGCAUCGCCACCCAGACCCAGCCAAUCAACCAAACGAAUCGCCAAGAGCGAAUCAUGAGGUUGGCUCUUUGGGGCUCACAGUGUGCGGUGGUUGGGUCUUUCAGGCACAGGUUAUGGCUGACUGGCUUGUCAGCGAAGGUUAAGCUCUUGCCUGGCGACCAGCCGACCACAGUGACAUUUACAUGCUAAUGCGCGAUGACGAUGACAACCCCCAUCCGUGAGCUCUCUACUCCAUAACGUGGAAUUGGAUAUUUUGCUUAUCUUUAUGAACGAACAGGAGGACAUAUGUACGCAGUGGUAGUACUGGGCUGGGUUGUGCAUUGGAUGUGUUUUUUUUUGGGAAACUUCCCUUUUUACUAGUAUUUUUGACAUUCGGGCCC